UCGAGAAUCUUCGGCAAUGGACGAAAGUCUGACCGAGCGACGCCGCGUGCGGGAUGAAGGCCUUCGGGUUGUAAACCGCUGUCAGUUGGGAGGAAAUCCGGAGGGUCCACUCUCUGGUUGACCUAUCUUCAGAGGAAGUCCGGGCUAAGUUCGUGCCAGCAGCCGCGGUAAGACGAACCGGACAAACGUUAUUCGGAAUUAUUGGGCUUAAAGGGUGCGUAGGCGGUGCGGUAAGUCGGGUGUGAAAUCCCUCGGCUCAACCGAGGAACUGCGCCCGAUACUGCCGUGCUCGAGGGAGACAGAGGUGAGCGGAACUGAUGGUGGAGCGGUGAAAUGCGUUGAUAUCAUCAGGAACACCAGUGGCGAAAGCGGCUCACUGGGUCUCUUCUGACGCUGAGGCACGAAAGCUAGGGUAGCGAACAGGAUUAGAUACCCCCGUAGUCC
rnacentral:rRNA from 1 species